rnacentral:pre_miRNA from 1 species
UCGGGGUAAAAUAGUGAGAAGCCGACAUGGGGAAGUGAUCGACCCUUGGGAUAAGUUUAAUUCUACUUUUUUUAACCCCAUAAACUUUUUACCGUGGGUAAAAAGAACUUGUUAGGGUAAAAAAAACAAGAUUUAAAUUUAACCCAAAGGUUGAUGAUGUAUUUUCCCCAAGAAGGUUACUCACUAUUUUACCACAC